rnacentral:tRNA from 1 species
AUUUUAGUAGCUUAAUUAGAGUAUAAUAUUGAAGAUAUUAAGGUGAAGUUGUUUUUMUAAAAUA